rnacentral:rRNA from 1 species
UACGGAGGGUGCAAACGUUGCUCGGAAUCAUUGGGCGUAAAGCGCACGUAGGCGGCUCGUUAAGUCGGAUGUGAAAUCCCUCGGCUCAACCAAGGAAGUGCAUCCGAAACUGCAGAGCUUGAGUACUUAAGAGGAUCGCGGAAUUCCCGGUGUAGAGGUGAAAUUCGUAGAUAUCGGGAGGAACACCAGUGGCGAAGGCGGCGAUCUGGGAAGAUACUGACGCUGAGGUGCGAAAGCGUGGGGAGCAAACAGG